UCAUGACAGAAACAAAGAGAAACACUUACCGAAACUAAGCGAGCACUAAACACGUGCGAAAACGAAGGAAAAUAAAUAGAUUAGGGAAAAAUCAAAAAGAAGAAAAAGAAAAGAAAGAAGGAAAAACUCAGAGAAUUUCAGCAAGAGGAGAUGGAGAAGAAUAGACGGCAGAAUUUUUUUUGGGAAAGAGAGUCAAAAUUUGGUUAUGGAAAAAAAAAAAAUAAAAUCCCGAUAACCCCCAAAAUCCCUUAACCUUCUCCCUUAAUUCCCACUACACAUCCACUACUCAGAAUCGCCCUAUUACACAACUCUAUCCCGAAAUCUGAGCAAAAGUAAUAAUACCCUUGCCUGCAUAGGGAUUCGAACACAAGACCACCAUAAU
rnacentral:lncRNA from 1 species